AACGCGUGGGUAACCUGCCUCAUACAGGGGGAUAACAGUUAGAAAUGACUGCUAAUACCGCAUAAGACCACAGCACCGCAUGGUGCGGGGGUAAAAACUCCGGUGGUAUGAGAUGGACCCGCGUCUGAUUAGCUAGUUGGUAAGGUAACGGCUUACCAAGGCGACGAUCAGUAGCCGACCUGAGAGGGUGACCGGCCACAUUGGGACUGAGACACGGCCCAAACUCCUACGGGAGGCAGCAGUGGGGAAUAUUGCACAAUGGGGGAAACCCUGAUGCAGCGACGCCGCGUGAGCGAAGAAGUAUUUCGGUAUGUAAAGCUCUAUCAGCAGGGAAGAAAAUGACGGUACCUGACUAAGAAGCACCGGCUAAAUACGUGCCAGCAGCCGCGGUAAUACGUAUGGUGCAAGCGUUAUCCGGAUUUACUGGGUGUAAAGGGAGCGUAGACGGAUGGGCAAGUCUGAUGUGAAAACCCGGGGCUCAACCCCGGGACUGCAUUGGAAACUGUUCAUCUAGAGUGCUGGAGAGGUAAGUGGAAUUCCUAGUGUAGCGGUGAAAUGCGUAGAUAUUAGGAGGAACACCAGUGGCGAAGGCGGCUUACUGGACAGUAACUGACGUUGAGGCUCGAAAGCGUGGGGAGCAAACAGGAUUAGAUACCCUGGUAGUCCACGCCGUAAACGAUGACUACUAGGUGUCGGGUGGCAAAGCCAUUCG
rnacentral:rRNA from 1 species